UCGCGACUUCAGGAUAGGGUGCGAUUCCCGACCGGCGGUGAAAGCCCGCGACUCCCGAGAGGGACUGACGCAGUGAGAUUCUGCGGCCGACAGUAAAGUCUGGAUGGUAGAAGCGCGG
rnacentral:ncRNA from 1 species